UUACUCUAGUUUCCCUUCAGAGCGAAUAAAUCUUUCGCCUUUUUAAAUAUUUCCGUGGAGGGGAACACAUGAUGUAUCUGUAACCAAAUAAAAAGUAUUAUAGGGAGCAGUUUUAAAGCUGAA